rnacentral:rRNA from 1 species
UACGGAGGGUGCGAACGUUGUUCGGAAUCACUGGGCUUAAAGGGCGCGUAGGCGGGCUGUCAAGUCUGGGGUGAAAUCCCACGGCUCAACCGUGGAACUGCCUUAGAUACUGACGGCCUCGAGGGAGAUAGGGGCGAGCGGAACUGUGAGUGGAGCGGUGAAAUGCGUUGAUAUUCACAGGAACUCCGGUGGCGAAGGCGGCUCGCUGGAUCUCUUCUGACGCUGAGGCGCGAAAGCUAGGGGAGCAAACGGG